CAGACAUUAGACAGGACAAACCGCGGCAAAGAAAUGGUGCCCCAAACCAAAAUUACAACCAAACCUUGGACUUUCAUCCAGGGUGGAACCAAGGUUCUCGCAAGUCUGCUUACCCUAUGGUUCAAUUACAAAUUCUGCGCAGAUCAAAUACAAAUUACAAAUUCUGCGCAGAUCAAAUCAAGCAACCCUCGGACUUUCAUCCAGGGCAGGACUUCAGGGGUCUUCCCCAGAAGUCCGAAUUACAAAUACAAAUUCUGCGCAGAUCAAAUACAAAUCAUGGCACCAAACAAAACAGCAAGAGACAAAACAAGAAACAUAGAACAUUGAACAUAUAUAAAUUGCGAGCUCUAAUCAUCUUACCUCCAAGAUCGAAUCCACUCAGGUGAAGGGUGGUCGCAAAUCCCGGACGAGCCCCCAAAAUGUUAGACCCCCGAAAACUGAAGUAUUCGGGGUCCCAGGCCACGUUCGCGGUCACCCCAAUCACCAGGCGGAUUCGAGAGCUUGCUGCAAACUGCACGAGGCUUUAUUGUAAUUUAACGAGCUAACCCCAUGUUAGCUCGGGUCUUUCACCCACCCGCCAUGGCAGACAGCUAGAAAAGACGGCUCCUUGGGUCUCCCAAAAGAUCUUAUAGGGCAGCGUAAGGGGAGUGUCUAGGGGUACGCACAGGCUUACGCACAGGCUCAUGAUUGGUGUGCCUCCAGGCUUAGAGGACUUGCCCUGUGUUGAUUGGUCAACUGGUUGUUAUGGCUCAUAGGCCCUCCCAGGGUGGUUGCUAUGCUCUCUACGUCAUUGUCGUGCGCUUGUCCGUAAAGCACAAGACAGGCAUCUGACCUCUAAGUGACUAAGGUUCCUUGUCACGAGACAGGCAUCUGACCUCUACGUGACCAAGGCAGGUUUAUGGCAAGCACGUGUUCGGCUGUUAUGGCUGCCAAAAGGAAGCUGGUUCCUUCACCAGAAAGAUUAGAUUCCCAGCUCCCACGCAGUAGCUUACAUCUGUCUGUAGCUCCAGUUCCAGGUGACCUGACAUCUGGCUUCCUCAGCACAAGGCAUUCAUGUAGUGCACAGAUAUGCAUGCAGACAAAGCACAUGUUCACAUAAUAAAAUUAAAUAUGUGUGUACAUGUAUGUGUGAUAAAGACAGGACAGACAUGUGCUUAGGUAGCUCUGACAUAGGGCAUCUCAAAUUAAGAGUUGCAAAUGAGGAAGUAACUCUGUGUAUGUGUGUCUGUGUGUGUCUGUGUGUGUGUGUGUGUGUGUGUGUGUGUGUGUGUGUGUGUGUGUGUGUGUGUGUCUGUGUGUGUGUAGAGGUCAAGGGUAGGGUCUUCCUCAACUGCUCUCUACCUUUUUUUUUUUUUUUUUUUUUUUUUUUAAGAUAGAACCUAUCUCUUCUUGAGCCCAGAACUCACUAAUUGGUUGGUUGGAUUGGAUUGGAUUCAACAAAAUGAAGUCAACAAUGACUUAAAUAAGAAGUGUGUAGGGGGCUGGAGAGAUGGCUCAGAGGUUAAGAGCACUGGCUGCUCUUCCAGAGGACCCCGGUUCAAUUCCCAGCAUCCACAUGGCAGCUCACAACUGUCUAUAACUCCAGUUCCAGGGGGUCUGUCACCUUUGUACCAAUGCACAUAAAAAAUAAUGUUAAAUAUAUUUAAAAAAAUAAAAAGUGUGUGUCUCAUUAAAAGAAAAAACAAAAGAGAAGUAUGCCAAAAAAAGCCAGUCCAAG
ensembl:lncRNA